rnacentral:tRNA from 1 species
GGGAUGUAGCUCAGUUGCAGAGUGCUUUUCUGGCAUGCACAAGGUCCUGGGUUCAAUCCCCAGUAGUAUACCA